rnacentral:rRNA from 1 species
AUGAACGCUAGCUACAGGCUUAACACAUGCAAGUCGAGGGGCAGCAUGGUCUUAGCUUGCUAAGGCCGAUGGCGACCGGCGCACGGGUGAGUAACACGUAUCCAACCUGCCGUCUACUCUUGGACAGCCUUCUGAAAGGAAGAUUAAUACAAGAUGGCAUCAUGAGUCCGCAUGUUCACAUGAUUAAAGGUAUUCCGGUAGACGAUGGGGAUGCGUUCCAUUAGAUAGUAGGCGGGGUAACGGCCCACCUAGUCUUCGAUGGAUUGGGGUUCUGAGAGGAAGGUCCCCCACAUUGGAACUGAGACACGGUCCAAACUCCUACGGGAGGCAGCAGUGAGGAAUAUUGGUCAAUGGGCGAGAGCCUGAACCAGCCAAGUAGCGUGAAGGAUGACUGCCCUAUGGGUUGUAAACUUCUUUUAUAAAGGAAUAAAGUCGGGUAUGCAUACCCGUUUGCAUGUACUUUAUGAAUAAGGAUCGGCUAACUCCGUGCCAGCAGCCGCGGUAAUACGGAGGAUCCGAGCGUUAUCCGGAUUUAUUGGGUUUAAAGGGAGCGUAGAUGGAUGUUUAAGUCAGUUGUGAAAGUUUGCGGCUCAACCGUAAAAUUGCAGUUGAUACUGGAUAUCUUGAGUGCAGUUGAGGCAGGCGGAAUUCGUGGUGUAGCGGUGAAAUGCUUAGAUAUCACGAAGAACUCCGAUUGCGAAGGCAGCCUGCUAAGCUGCAACUGACAUUGAGGCUCGAAAGUGUGGGUAUCAAACAGGAUUAGAUACCCUGGUAGUCCACACGGUGAACGAUGAAUACUCGCUGUUUGUGAUAUACAGUAAGCGGCCAAGCGAAAGCAUUAAGUAUUCCACCUGGGGAGUACGCCGGCAACGGUGAAACUCAAAGGAAUUGACGGGGGCCCGCACAAGCGGAGGAACAUGUGGUUUAAUUCGAUGAUACGCGAGGAACCUUACCCGGGCUUAAAUUGCAGAUGAAUUACGGUGAAAGCCGUAAGCCGCAAGGCAUCUGUGAAGGUGCUGCAUGGUUGUCGUCAGCUCGUGCCGUGAGGUGUCGGCUUAAGUGCCAUAACGAGCGCAACCCUUGUUGUCAGUUACCAACAGGUUCCGCUGAGGACUCUGACAAGACUGCCAUCGUAAGAUGUGAGGAAGGUGGGGAUGACGUCAAAUCAGCACGGCCCUUACGUCCGGGGCUACACACGUGUUACAAUGGGGGGGUACAGAGGGCCGCUACCACGCGAGUGGAUGCCAAUCCCAAAAACCUCUCUCAGUUCGGACUGGAGUCUGCAACCCGACUCCACGAAGCUGGAUUCGCUAGUAAUCGCGCAUCAGCCAUGGCGCGGUGAAUACGUUCCCGGGCCUUGUACACACCGCCCGUCAAGCCAUGGGAGUUGGGGGUACCUAAAGUCCGUAACCGCAAGGAUCGGCCUAGGGUAAAACCGAUGACUGGGGC